UCGUACCUACGGGGGGCAGCAGUGAGGAAUAUUGGUCAAUGGUCGGGAGACUGAACCAGCCAAGCCGCGUGAGGGAUGAAGGUACAGAGUAUCGUAAACCUCUUUCGUCAGGGAACAAAGGCGGGGACGGGUCCCCGGAUGAGAGUACCUGAAGAAAAAGCAUCGGCUAACUCCGUGCCAGCAGCCGCGGUAAUACGGAGGAUGCGAGCGUUAUCCGGAUUUAUUGGGUUUAAAGGGUGCGCAGGCGGUCUGUUAAGGCAGCGGUCAAAGCCCGGGGCUCAACCCCGGACCGCCGUUGAA
rnacentral:rRNA from 1 species